AGAGAAGAUAGUAAGCGCGAAGUUGGACCCGCUCACGCGGCGUAUAUCAUGUCUUUCAGCUUUCGCUAUUUUGUCUCUCUACACUGCAGUGGGCGAAUACAGAUCAGUAAUUGCUCAAUUUCAUACUCUGAUGCGGAUUCGUUGCUGUUUGUCGCCUGAUCUCAGUUCUCACCAUCAAAUAAAAGUCAACGGUAAUUAACUGUUUCCUCCCCUCAUUCUUUCUUGCUUUUGAUCCUUUCCCCUCCUUUUUGUAUCGUCUGCUUAAUUUUUUUGGCCAACCAUAUCGUCUGCUUAAUGACUCUUUUAUAUUUACUGAGAAAUUGAACGCAUAGUCA